GAAAAAGAGGAGUGGCGAACGGGUGAGUAACACGUGGGUAACCUGCCCAUCAGAAGGGGAUAACACUUGGAAACAGGUGCUAAUACCGUAUAACAAUCAAAACCGCAUGGUUUUGAUUUGAAAGGCGCUUUCGGGUGUCGCUGAUGGAUGGACCCGCGGUGCAUUAGCUAGUUGGUGAGGUAACGGCUCACCAAGGCCACGAUGCAUAGCCGACCUGAGAGGGUGAUCGGCCACAUUGGGACUGAGACACGGCCCAAACUCCUACGGGAGGCAGCAGUAGGGAAUCUUCGGCAAUGGACGAAAGUCUGACCGAGCAACGCCGCGUGAGUGAAGAAGGUUUUCGGAUCGUAAAACUCUGUUGUUAGAGAAGAACAAGGAUGAGAGUAACUGUUCAUCCCUUGACGGUAUCUAACCAGAAAGCCACGGCUAACUACGUGCCAGCAGCCGCGGUAAUACGUAGGUGGCAAGCGUUGUCCGGAUUUAUUGGGCGUAAAGCGAGCGCAGGCGGUUUCUUAAGUCUGAUGUGAAAGCCCCCGGCUCAACCGGGGAGGGUCAUUGGAAACUGGGAGACUUGAGUGCAGAAGAGGAGAGUGGAAUUCCAUGUGUAGCGGUGAAAUGCGUAGAUAUAUGGAGGAAC
rnacentral:rRNA from 1 species